rnacentral:rRNA from 1 species
GCGGCAAAAGCUCAAAUUUGAAAUCUAGCACCUUCGGUGUUCGAGUUGUAAUUUGAAGAUGGUAACCUUGGGUUUGGCUCUUGUCUAUGUUCCUUGGAACAGGACGUCAUAGAGGGUGAGAAUCCCGUCUGAUGAGAUGCCCAUUCCUAUGUAAGGUGCUAUCGAAGAGUCGAGUUGUUUGGGAAUGCAGCUCUAAGUGGGUGGUAAAUUCCAUCUAAAGCUAAAUAUUGGCGAGAGACCGAUAGCGAACAAGUACAGUGAUGGAAAGAUGAAAAGAACUUUGAAAAGAGAGUGAAAAAGUACGUGAAAUUGUUGAAAGGGAAGGGCAUUAGAUCAGACUUGGUGUUUUACGAUUAUCUUCUCUUCUUGAGCUGUGCACUCGUAUUUCACUGGGCCAGCAUCGAUUCGGAUGGCAAGAUAAUGGCAGUUGAAUGUGGCUUCACUUCGGUGGAGUGUUAUAGCUUCUGCUGAUAUUGCCUGUCUGGAUCGAGGGCUGCGUCUUUUGACUAGGAUGCUGGCGUAAUGAUCUAAUGC